GACGUAGGGCGCGAGCGUUGUCCGGAUUUAUUGGGCGUAAAGAGCUCGUAGGCGGCUUGUCGCGUCGACUGUGAAAACCCGCGGCUCAACUGCGGGCCUGCAGCCGAUACGGGCAGGCUAGAGUUCGGUAGGGGAGACUGGAAUUCCUGGUGUAGCGGUGAAAUGCGCAGAUAUCAGGAGGAACACCCGGGUGGGCGAAGGCGGGUCUCU
rnacentral:rRNA from 1 species